rnacentral:lncRNA from 10 species
CCCCAGAGCACUGGAUGCUCCCGGAGGGCUGGCUUCAGCCCAUCCUGCAGCCUGGCACCCUGCAGUCUGCGGCCCUGUCCCCAGAGGAGGAGGCACGGUGGCUGCUGCCUCCUUCGGCAGGCGACCACACUCUUCCUCUCCCAGGUGGUAAAAUUGAUGGGCAAGGACACAGCAGGCUGGCAGGCCCCCGGCCCCCACCUCAGCAGCCAGAUGCCGGUAGCUGGAGGGAGCGUCCUAGCUCAGGAACCAAAUGAAUGCAAACUGGGGAGGGCUGGGACGGGGGCCCUAGGGCCAUUCCUCACCUGGCUUUGUAUUUGCAAGCCCUGUGUUGGGGGUGCAGGGAAGGCAUUUUGAAGUGCAGAAGGUGCUGUACAAAUGCCUGAGAGUACCGAUGUCUGCUGCCCUUGUCACUGUUGAAUGCGGAGAUCAGAAACCUUAAAACAAUGGUCCUUGAAUAUCGGAGUCCCAGGGUGCUCUUUUCAGCUUUCUUCUGUUUUUGUACCCACUGCCUCCCUGGAUGGGCUCCCUACUGGCUUGGCUGUGGUCCACGGCCUCUAAAGAUGCUCCCAGGACUCUGCUGUCAGC